rnacentral:rRNA from 1 species
GAUGAACGCUGGCGGCGUGCCUAAUACAUGCGAGUCGAGCGAACGGACGAGAAGCUUGCUUCUCUGAUGUUAGCGGCGGACGGGUGAGUAACACGUGGAUAACCUACCUAUAAGACUGGGAUAACUUCGGGAAACCGGAGCUAAUACCGGAUAAUAUUUUGAACCGCAUGGUUCAAAAGUGAAAGACGGUCUUGCUGUCACUUAUAGAUGGAUCCGCGCUGCAUUAGCUAGUUGGUAAGGUAACGGCUUACCAAGGCAACGAUGCAUAGCCGACCUGAGAGGGUGAUCGGCCACACUGGAACUGAGACACGGUCCAGACUCCUACGGGAGGCAGCAGUAGGGAAUCUUCCGCAAUGGGCGAAAGCCUGACGGAGCAACGCCGCGUGAGUGAUGAAGGUCUUCGGAUCGUAAAACUCUGUUAUUAGGGAAGAACAUAUGUGUAAGUAACUGUGCACAUCUUGACGGUACCUAAUCAGAAAGCCACGGCUGACUACGUGCCAGCAGCCGCGGUAAUACGUAGGUGGCAAGCGUUAUCCGGAAUUAUUGGGCGUAAAGCGCGCGUAGGCGGUUUUUUAAGUCUGAUGUGAAAGCCCACGGCUCAACCGUGGAGGGUCAUUGGAAACUGGAAAACUUGAGUGCAGAAGAGGAAAGUGGAAUUCCAUGUGUAGCGGUGAAAUGCGCAGAGAUAUGGAGGAACACCAGUGGCGAAGGCGACUUUCUGGUCUGUAACUGACGCUGAUGUGCGAAAGCGUGGGGAUCAAACAGGAUUAGAUACCCUGGUAGUCCACGCCGUAAACGAUGAGUGCUAAGUGUUAGGGGGUUUCCGCCCCUUAGUGCUGCAGCUAACGCAUUAAGCACUCCGCCUGGGGAGUACGACCGCAAGGUUGAAACUCAAAGGAAUUGACGGGGACCCGCACAAGCGGUGGAGCAUGUGGUUUAAUUCGAAGCAACGCGAAGAACCUUACCAAAUCUUGACAUCCUUUGACAACUCUAGAGAUAGAGCCUUCCCCUUCGGGGGGGGCAAAGUGACAGGUGGUGCAUGGUUGUCGUCAGCUCGUGUCGUGAGAUGUUGGGUUAAGUCCCGCAACGAGCGCAACCCUUAAGCUUAGUUGCCAUCAUUAAGUUGGGCACUCUAAGUUGACUGCCGGUGACAAACCGGAGGAAGGUGGGGAUGACGUCAAAUCAUCAUGCCCCUUAUGAUUUGGGCUACACACGUGCUACAAUGGACAAUACAAAGGGCAGCGAAACCGCGAGGUCAAGCAAAUCCCAUAAAGUUGUUCUCAGUUCGGAUUGUAGUCUGCAACUCGACUACAUGAAGCUGGAAUCGCUAGUAAUCGUAGAUCAGCAUGCUACGGUGAAUACGUUCCCGGGUCU